AUGCUUUUGGGAAAGCGCAAACCCAAGAUCUCAUCAUCAUCCGAUAUUCACUGUCAGACCUUCACUCAGUCUCAAGAUGAGGUAAAAAGACCAAGUGAAUCUUUUCGUCUGGUCUGUACUGCCUCUGGAUUCACUUUCAGCAGCUGGUAUGCAGCUGUAGUAAGACAGGCACCUGGUAAAGGACUGGAGUGGGUUACAUUUAUCGGCACAUACAGUUCUCCAAUCCUCUAUUCCCAGUCAGUCCAGGGCAGGUUCACCGUGUCCAGAGAUGAUUCCAGCAGUAAACUGUACCUUCAGAUGAACAGCCUGAAGACUGAAGACACUGCUGUGUAUUACUGUGCUGUAGAGUCACAGUGA